AGCUUUGGGCAAUGGGAUAUCAUAGCCAAUGAGGCUUAUCCAAGGUAUAAUAGUUGCUAACUGAAAAUUUUACCAAUACCCACCAUGAUGACUUGAAAUAUAAUUGGCAUGGACAGUUUCUGACAGUCUCUACAGAGA
ensembl:snRNA U4 U4 spliceosomal RNA